UCCACCGAUAGAUCUGACAUGGCUACAGAAAAUUAAUUGUUGAUAUAAAUUUAAAAGCUUCUGUGGCUUUAGAUAACUCUCUGUUCUAGACGUAAGCCGACUACUUAUCACAUUUGGAUAAAAGCUGUGCCAAUCCUUAAAUAAUCAAGUGGUAUAUUUUGCUGAAAGCAACCCUUAAAACUGUCAUUGGGACCUGAAAUUAAAACCAAAUCAAAUCGCAGCUGAUAAAAGCAACAAUUAUUAAAAGCCAGGUGGAGGGAUGGAGAGGCAGACUGGUCAAAAUAUUCUGGACUGUCUUCUGGAAGCAAUGGAAAGAAACUACAAUUUAAUAAGUUAGUUCUUAAAAGUUGUCCUCUUUAAGCCACAACUCCUGGUCUCAUCUUAUUGGACCUCUGAGAAAGAAGUCACCACCCACUGAAAGAAGAGACACCUCUCACAGAUGCUGCCUUCUAAAAGCAUCCUGUAGAUAGCACAGUUUAUUCUGCCCAGUGUUCCACAAUCACAGACUGCAGGCAAGGUACGCAAUGUUCACUGUAACAAAUUUGUAUUCUAAUCUCUUUCCUUCAGCUCAUCUUCUGUUAUCCUGCUUCACAUCCUCUGAUGCUGCACACGGGAAUGCCACCUGAAAGGAAUUAAACACCUUAUUUUAUUCAUAGCAAUAUUAAUGGCCUCUGUUUAUUGAGUACGUACUGUUGGUCAGGCACCCAACAGGCCCCUGACAGAUUUUUCUUGUUUAGUCUUCACAACAACCCUAAAGAAGUGGGCAUCAGGUUUCCACCUUUUACAGAUGAGAGUUCUGAGACCAGGUUAAGAAAUUUCC